UGCUGUGCAGGCUGAGGAGCUCCCGGUACUAUGACUUCUCAACAUGACCCUACUAGUGGCCCUUGUGGACAGGUGGCAUCUCGAGAUGAACACCCUCCACUUUCGUGCUGCGAGAUGGCGCUCACUCUUCAAGACGUGUCCCUGCUACCGGCCUACCUUGCGUGGGUGCCACUGUUGGUGUGAGGGACGUGGGCGUUGCAUGGCGUGAUGAGUUGCUUGCCUGCUUCUCUACCGUUCACUGGAGGGACAACCUAGCCCCCUUCAGGCCUUUUCUGAGGUCGAAGAAGCACGACUUGACUAAGUCGUUUCUUCAUUGACAAGCAACCAACACCCACCAUUGGCAGGCGAUGACGAUGUCUCCCACCACUUAUAGGCCUACUUGUUGUGGUUGUUUGGGUGGAUCAUGUUCAUUGAGACCCAUAGCAACAUAGCCUUGUGGAGCAUGAUCCCCUACACCACAAAGAUUGUGGAUGCCAGACCAGGGAGGUCCUGCAGUACAACUGGGCUUCAGCUAGGCUGACUGCAAUGUACUGGGGCCUGUGCGACACCUGCACGAAGACCGGUGUGAAUGCGAUCCUCACCAAGUGUCCGCUACUGCUGCAGUUGUGUUUGUACGAGCGGUUCACCAUCGGUAGGCCCGUUGUCGACCACAACGCGUAUGAGCUUCAUGCCGACGUUGUCAAUGGCUCGACCAUGGGCUCUUUGUGGUGCCAACGUCAGUGGCCUUGACAUUCCCAAGGUGAGUUGAGCACGACGUUCGAUCAGAUCUACCGGUAGGUACAUAAGGUGAUCAAGUCAUUCAGCUGUAGGUCAUCCUUGAGUGUUUUGAUGGGACCACGAGCACUGGCUCCUCUCCCGCCACACCCCUCGGCCAUGUUCAUGUCCCCGCCACAGCCACUAGUAUGUUUGAUCUUCAUCGUCGAGUCCUCGAGGCCAUCUUUCACCUCGUCUGUUGACCCGGACUGUGGUGGCGGCUCAGCGAGGUAGUCUUUCAUCGGCGACGAUGACUCGCACUAUAAUGCGCCUUGGUGAUGCACUCUUUCUUCAGCGUCGGUGACCCCUACUACGGUGUCAUAGCAUCGAGGACAACGUUCGUUGGUGUCGGUGACUACUUCUACUCCAGCAGUGGGUCUACGUAGCCUUUCUUACCUCAGAUUGAGGAUCUCGGGGAUGUAGAUGCGCAGGCGAGCUACACAGAGCAGCUCAUUGGGGACAGUGCUCAGGUCCCUGAGUACAACUACAUCUUUGGCUAAGGGGACGAGCUCACCACGUCGUAGCUACAUGGCACACCACUUACAAGGACACAAGGCACCCAAGACGACUAUGUGACUGAUCGUUCCACUGAACACGCUAACGUACUCAAUGCACCACAUGAGAGCGCAGAGGCGUAGGGUUCUGAGGGGGGUGAGA